ensembl:snoRNA U8 U8 small nucleolar RNA
UCCUCACAUGGGAUAAUUUUUACUUCAUUCUCCCUUUGGAGGGCAGGUUAGAACAUGAAUGUAGUUUGCAUGAUCCAUGAUUCACAUCUUGGAGUAGUCACAACUUGCAGUGCCAUGAUUGCUUCUAUUUGCU